GGGAGGCAGCAGUGGGGAAUUUUGGACAAUGGGCGCAAGCCUGAUCCAGCCAUGCCGCGUGAGUGAAGAAGGCCUUCGGGUUGUAAAGCUCUUUCGGUGGGGAAGAAAUUGCUUGGGUUAAUACCCUGAGUAGAUGACGGUACCCGCAUAAGAAGCACCGGCUAACUACGUGCCAGCAGCCGCGGUAAUACGUAGGGUGCGAGCGUUAAUCGGAAUUACUGGGCGUAAAGCGUGCGCAGGCGGUUUUGUAAGUCAGAUGUGAAAUCCCCGGGCUCAACCUGGGAACUGCAUUUGAGACUGCAAGGCUAGAGUGUGGCAGAGGGGGGUAGAAUUCCACGUGUAGCAGUGAAAUGCGUAGAGAUGUGGAGGAAUACCGAUGGCGAAGGCAGCCCCCUGGGUCACUACUGACGCUCAUGCACGAAAGCGUGGGGAUCAAACAGGAUUAGAUACCC
rnacentral:rRNA from 1 species